rnacentral:rRNA from 1 species
UACGGAGGAUCCGAGCGUUAUCCGGAUUUAUUGGGUUUAAAGGGUGCGCAGGUUGUUUGAUAAGUCAGUGGUGAAAGUCUGUCGCUUAACGGUAGGAUUGCCAUUGAUACUGUUGGACUUGAAUAUGGAUGAGGUAGGCGGAAUGUGUAGUGUAGCGGUGAAAUGCAUAGAUAUUACACAGAACACCGAUUGCGAAGGCAGCUUACUAAUCCAUCAUUGACGCUGAGGCACGAAAGCGUGGGGAUCAAACAGGA